rnacentral:rRNA from 1 species
UACGGUGAAUACGUUCCCCGGACCUUGUACACACCGCCCGUCAAGCCAUGGAAGCUGGGUGUACCUAAAGUCGGUAACCGCAAGGAGCCGCCUAGGGUAAAACUAGUAACUGGGGCU